rnacentral:misc_RNA from 1 species
UGCUUGAGGAAAAUAUGUUGGGGAGCAAAGAAGAUCAAGCCAUAAAGACUUCAAUUGACAUUGAAGAAAAUCAAUCUGUUGAGCUAACAAUGAAAAUUAAAAAUUUUGAUGUUUCGAUUGAUUUUAUUUGUUCUGAUAUUUCUACAGAUAUACAAAAACAAAUGAAGUUAUUCAUUUCCAAUUUGAUGUUGUCAUCCAAGAAGAUAAUAGUGUUUUCUCCUUGCUCGAUUUUUGUUUCUCCUGCACUUCAAGACUCGAG